CCACCAUGUUUAAGUGUCUCUUAUUUUAGGGAACUCUUCAGAAUUAGGGGCAUGUACUUAAUAAGAUAAUAAGGGGGUGAUGUUACAGAGUUGGAGCAAUGCAGAUGGGGUGGGAAUUUGCUAGUUUGUGGGGAAAAUUCCAGUCUAAAUGAGUGGAGAUGUUCUGCAGGGAAGAAGGGGUGUUUAGCACGAAGCACUAUGUGCCGGGGUGAGAUGCUCUGCAUAGGUGGAAAUAUUCUGCAAGCUGGUCUCUGCCAUCUGUGUGCUGAGUCAGUGUGUGUUACGCAGGUACAUUAGAGGGAUAUGGGGGCAAUUGAGUUACACAAGAACAGCAGAGGGGGGAGCGGAGAGGGCCACAGCUGUUGCUGACAGAAGAGCCAGCACUAGUAGGCUGUACACGGCUCUAACUGCAUCAAGUUCUGCUGUGUGUGUGCCUCUGCUAUUCCUCUACCUCAGCCAUGCAAAAUGGCACUAAAAUGUUCAGUCUUCUUGCCUCCAGCAUCACCGAUAC